GAGCCCGACGCGGGGCUCGAACUCACGGACCGCGAGAUUGUGACCUGGCUGAAGCCGGAUGCUUAACAGACUGCGCCACCCAGGCGCCCCAUGCUUUGUAUUUCUACAGUAGCCCUGGGGAACAAAACUACUCAGAAUUUGAUCUCGUUGAGACUAGUCAAUGAAAACAUGACUGAGAAAGUCGCAAUGCAUUCAUUUCACCAGCGAUGUCCUGCUGGGUGUGUGUUUUGUUUUAACAAUGCACACAUUCUCCAGGGCUGUGAUUUUGUUCUGUUUGCCACUCUACGUCAUGGUUCACUGGGAAACGCAGGGGUGUGGUGACUUUAGCCUUCUUAAGCCAUCAAACCUAUCAGUAGUGUUUAACACGCCAACAUUAUGCCAGGAAGUCCUGGAGAUUGCUAGAAUGAAUCUAUCCUGCGCUCAACGUGGGAUUGUUGUUUUCAGCGAAAGAACCUCGCUUGUGAGGACGAGGGCAGAGUGACUGAAGUGAGUAAGCAGGUCAGCGUGCUGGUGGGGAGUGUCGGGGGAAGAGUCUGCAGAGUGGAUGUCCUUUUAUCUACCUCAGGGCGUCUGCCUAGAUUUCUCCUCCUUCCCCUCCCUCCCCGGAGGGAGGCAGUGAGGCAGCAGGGGUGCUCACUUUCCACUUCAAGCACCUAUCACGUUAUAUUUUCAACCAAAUAGCUUCCUACAUAAGAGGUAUUCUGGGACAAAUGUAGAGUUCAUUCACUCCUUCCAUAAAUAUGUACUUAGCAUCAGCUGCAAGCAUGCACUCGGCUAGGUGCUGGGGAUAGAACAUUUGGAGGAGGUGGGGGACAAAAUCGUAUGUUCUAGUAGAUCUGAAUAUGACUCAUCCUCAUUACACACAGAGGAGGAAAUUGAGGCUUAAGAGGUUAAUGGGUUUGGCCAAAGAGCAGAGCUAAGAUUUUAACUAAAGUCAGCCAGCUCCCCAAACCCAUCCCCUUGACCAAUUCUAUACUACCUGCCAUGGACAUUUUUUUGUUUUGUGUUGCCGCCCAACAUUCUCUUGCAUUAUUCUGGUACUUGAACCCUGUGGUAGCUUUAGGAAAAUGACUUUUUCUUUUCUAGAUUUUUAGAAAAUGUAUUUAUUUAAGCAAUCUCUACACCUGAUGUGACUGGAACUCAUGACCUCAAGGUCAAGAGCUGCACACUCCACCGAAUGAGCCAGGCAGGAGCCCCAGGAAAACCACCUUUUCCAGCACCAUCUAGAAAGAUGGUCAGGCUCCUCAGGCGAUUCGGACGCAGCCCCGCCGAGCUUUGGGAUCCUGCAGAUUAAAUAAAUUCUGGGACGGACCUCAGGAAGUCCACUUUGUCUCAUCUUCCUCCAGUUCCAGGGAGCCAGACGGGAUGGAGAGGUCAGCCUUUGUGUGGAUGGCUUUCCACCUGUCCACCGCAGCACAUGGUGCCCGCGAAGGGCUGCAUUUGGAGUUAAUGAGAAGAAUUGCCCCCAUUUGCUUCCCAAAGGAAUCAGAAUGGAAAUACAGAAAGGAGCCCAGGAUGUCAGAUUCCUGCCUCCAAGUAUGAUCAUUCAGUUGAAGCUUCUCAGCGGAUCUGUUUUGGGACUUGGCAUAUGGGUCACCUGCACCCGAGAUAGAAUCCCCCUCAAAUCACAAAGAUUUCGGGUCACAAGCUUUUGGGUAAGUGCAGCUGGGAGGGUGAAGCUCUCUCAGUCCAGUUGAACUCCAGGCUUCCCCCCUCACAGACAUGGGGUCCUUGAACAGUAAGUCAUUCUGGGAUGACCAAGAGAUUUCUUUCUCUCUCACCACCUGUGACCAUGCACCAGGCUUUAAUUAUCUGAGUCUCAGUUUCCUUAACUGACUGGUGAAAAUAAUUACCCACCUCAAUUCUUGUUAUUACUAUAGAAGAUGAACGCAGGGUAAAAAAUACAAUGAUAAUAACAAAUGUGUAGUAAGAAAUAAAAUAAUAAUAAGUGUGUA